rnacentral:pre_miRNA from 1 species
AUGAGAUGGAAUCAGCGUUUGGACAUGCGAUUUUAUAUUGAUUUCAUCUCAUAA